AGAAGGGAUGAAUGGAGCAACACUGUGAGCAAAUCUGGCUUGGCGACUCAUUCUCCAAUGCCGUGGUCGCUUGCUUGGGCCCUGGAAAAAUGUGUUUCUUGCUUUUCCUUUAGGAACAGACGUCUCGUUGUGCUGAGACCGGCAAUGCUGCUGAGAGAAAAAUGUCUCCCCUCGGAUGCUGCAGACAAAGAAUAACACUGCUCCCUCCAGACCAAACACCGAGCCUUUGGUGUCAGACAGAGAAAAACAAAGUGUAUUUGAGUGAGCGAACGUAGGAGUGAGUGGAUUCGAACCCCGGAAUUCGGGAUCCCGUCGUUCGGUACACCAAGUGAGUGGAGGCUUGGUGGCGUGAGGCAGCUGACUCACGUUAGUAAAGGAUUUGGAAUACGUAAGUCGUGAAGAGACUUACACAGGAGCAUGAUGUCUGUCGCAUAUUGGGGGUACUACCUGGUGGAAGUCCCUGGCAAGUCUAACCUAAAUGAUCACCUACUGUAUAUCCCCACUGGACUGGAGAUAUAGGUUCUUGUUCAUUGCUUUAAUGUCUACCACCACACUGAAUGCAUAAAGCUGACAAGAAGGAGGAGCUAGACGUUCCUUACAUUACAAUAUACAUAUCUAUGGAUCGACAUCAAUAAUAAUAUGCCUGGGUGCACUCCAUCACACAUAGACUGAAAACAGAAACCUGCAAAACUCACAGGACUUUUAAACACGGAAAAA